GCGGAAGUGGCGGAAUUGGUAGACGCACCAGAUUUAGGUUCUGGCGCCGUAAGGUGUGAGAGUUCAAGUUUCUCCUUCCGCACCA
rnacentral:tRNA from 1 species